GAUGAACGCUGGCGGCGUGCCUAAUACAUGCAAGUCGAGCGGAAAGAUGAUGAGCUUGCUGCUCUCACGUGAGCGGCGGGCGUGUGUGUAACACGUGUAUACCCUCCCUGUAAGAGGGGUAAAACUACGGGAAACGGGAGAUAAUCGGGUAGAAGCUAUUGAAGCGCGUGGGGGAAUGGAAAAAGACGGUUUUGGGGUAUGUAAUAGAGGGUUCCGCGCCGCAUUGGCUGGUUGGGAAGGUAAAGGCUUUCCAAGGCAACGAGGCGUUGCCGACCGGAUAGGCUGAUAGGCCACAUUGGAACUGAGACACGGUCCAGACUCCUACGGGAGGCAGCAGUCUGGAAUCGUCCGCAAUGGUCGAAAGCAUGACGGAGCAACGCGGCGUGAGUGAUGAAGGCGCUCGGAUCGUAAUACUCUGUUAUUAGUGAAGAACCAAUAUGGAAGGAACUAUGCACGUCUUGACGGUACCUAAUAAGAAAGCCCCGGCUAACUACGUG
rnacentral:rRNA from 1 species